rnacentral:misc_RNA from 1 species
GAUGAAGAACGUAGCGAAAUGCGAUAAGUAAUGUGAAUUGCAGAAUCCAGUGAUUCAUCGAAUCUUUGAACGCACAUUGCGCCCGCCAGCAUUCUGGCGGGCAUGCCUGUUCGAGCGUCAUUUCAACCCUCGACCUCCCUUUGGGGAAGUCGGCGUUGGGGACCGGCAGCACACCGCCGGCCCUGAAAUGGAGUGGCGGCCCGUCCGCGGCGACCUCUGCGUAGUAAACCAACUCGCACCGGAACCCCGACGUGGCCACGCCGUAAAACACCCAACUUCUGAACGUUGACCUCGAAUCAGGUAGGACUACCCGCUGAACUUAAGCAUAUCAAUAAGCGGAGGA